CCUACGGGUGGCUGCAGUGGGGAAUAUUGGACAAUGGGCGAAAGCCUGAUCCAGCCAUGCCGCGUGUGUGAAGAAGGCCUUCGGGUUGUAAAGCACUUUCAGUGGGGAAGAAAGCCUUGGGGCUAAUACCCUCGAGGAAGGACAUCACCCACAGAAGAAGCACCGGCUAACUCCGUGCCAGCAGCCGCGGUAAUACGGAGGGUGCGAGCGUUAAUCGGAAUUACUGGGCGUAAAGCGCGCGUAGGCGGUCUGAUAAGCCGGUUGUGAAAGCCCCGGGCUCAACCUGGAACGGCAUCCGGAACUGUCAGGCUAGAGGGCAGGAGAGGAAGGUAGAAUUGCCGGUGUAGCGGUGAAAUGCGUAGAGAUCGGGAGGAAUACCAGUGGCGAAGGCGGCCUUCUGGACUGACACUGACGCUGAGGUGCGAAAGCGUGGGUAGCAAACAGGAUUAGAUACCCGGUAGUC
rnacentral:rRNA from 1 species